rnacentral:rRNA from 1 species
UGUCCGCAUAAAGUGCACCGCAUGGAAAUGAAGACGGCCAUUAGCUGUACCAUACUCAGGCACACAAACAUACUGAUAGCAGUCGGCGUGUGAAUCAUUAGCCUUGCGACCCUCGGCAGCAAGAACCAUACGACCAAUAUCACGAAAAUAGUCACGCAAAGCAUUGGGAUUAUCAUAAAACGCCUCUAAUCGGUCGUCAGCCAACGUGAGAGUGUCAAAAACGAUAAACCAACCAUCAGCAUGAGCC